GCGCCUAGAGCCAAACAACAUGGGUUUGAAGGCGGUGGAAAUGACUCGGCUGUUUUGGAUCGCCGCAACCUUCAUGGCGCUUCUUUGGGGGUAAGCUCUGAGAGGAGGACAAGACCGCUGCGCACUCUCGCUUAAGCUUUGAACCGCAGUGCGCGCGAGGUUUGGUUUCCAGCGAUUUGAGUUUAAUUGUUGGGCCGACCUUUCCACCUCAUGCAUUAUCUGUUUCCGCACUUUCGUGAAACGAAAUUUAUAAAGCUAUUACCGGAUGCUGUUAUAAGGAUUCUUGUUUCCUGGGUUUCCGACUGCGGCUCUUGUUUUAUGUGAUUAUUUGUUCACGUUCACAAGAAAGCUUCUGAUAACCCACAACUUCAUAACUAAUAUUGCAAUCGCUCUAAAUUUGCAGGUUGCCUGGUGCUAGGGCGCAGCCCCCUCCUGCCG
rnacentral:lncRNA from 1 species